AGGUGAGCCUGAUUAGAACCAUUAUGAGCAAUUAAUGCAAUCAGAGCUCUGAUGCUGGGAUCUCAUUUUGCCUGUUUGCGUUGUGGAGUCAUAAGCUCUCUUUAGUUUCAGGAUGUUGCAUGCUAAUCCUGUUACCUUUGGGUGUAGGGAGGAAUUUGGUAGAAUGUAGCAUAGGUGCCCCCAAAGGGCACCUAGCUGAUCAGCAAGCUGCUAGGGAAUGUUCUUCCCAGAGGUAGUUACCUUCCACCGUGUGGUGCUGUGUGUGGUUCCUGGGUGUAACCAAAUGUUUAUCUGCAGUCUAUGCAGACAAACACAUCCUGUGAGCUAACCUUUGGCAACUGAAGAAAGUAUCGGUCGGUCUGUUGGAUGUGUGAGAGCACCUAAAUGUUGUGUAAGGCAUGGUUGUUAAUGGAGGUUUUUCAUUUUACUCAGAGGUCUGUCAUAUUAGUGAAGAGACCAUGUUCUGGUUCGGGUAUUCUAUAUAGCAAUAGUGAUAAUGUUUUCCUGCUUGAUUUUGCGUCUGAAGGUUAGAGGUGUAGCCAUGCCCAGAAUUACGUCACGUUACCUCUCGCCUACUUGUCCUAUUUUCCAAGCCUGUUUGUUUGGAUAAUGCAUUACUCUAAUAUGGGUAAAAGUGUCUGAAAAAGAAUACAUGUUAUAAAAGCUUGUGAUUAGGUAGCACAGGUAACAUUACAUAAAGCCUUCUUUGGAAGUUAUGUGUGAGCUGUGUUUCAAUGUAACUUGUAACAGUGUAUAACAAAAUUACACUAUGUGUACUUUAUCCUAACAUCCAGUUCGCCUUUUCUAACAGUAAAAUCUAAAAUGAAAUAUAUGUUGUUAGAGAAAAUAUGCAUGUAAAAAUCUUUCUAUAGAGAAAUUGUUCUCUUCUGAGGUUGACAUCAAAGUUCCUGCCUUUGUUCUUGUUGAAAGCUUCCGCUUGUCUCAGUUAUAUAGUAAGUGUACUUUAUGGAAAUGGGCUAUGCUGACUAUAAAGCAUCUUAAGUUUACCAGGCAGACUGCUUUCUCUGAGAUGCUUUCCUUGAACCAGGAACAUUUCAUGCACAACAACAACAACAAAAAGAGCAUCAAUUACUCACAACUUGGUCACACUCAGGAAAAGAGGAAGAGAAGUGGACUCAAUUUAUGGGAAGUUUCUAUGUGCAACUACCAUGAACAGGAAAUGAAUGGAAGAAUAGAAUCUCUAUCUGCAAAAAUGUAUCUUGGUUUACCUUCUAGAUCACAGUGACUGUAGCUCCAUAUAGAAAUGAUUUCCCCAAUACAUCUGAAAAGGAAACUUGAGAAGGAAAAGGAGUAGGUACAUGAUUUUUGGGCCAAAUGUCACAGAAUACUGUUGAUAAGAGACUUGGGAAAAAUUUUAGACAUCCUGUUGUCCUGAAGGUAAUGAAGUAUCAACGAGGAUCGACCGGUCGAAACUUUGGCUAGAGAGGAAAAAGAAUCUUUCAUUCAAAGCCCUAAGAUAUCUUUGCCAUUAAAAUUCAGCAUGCUUUCAGAAAACAGAUUGAAGAAGGAAUCAAGUACAGUUUUACGACUUCAUAAAUUUUACCAGUCUCUUUUAAGCUCUCUAUUAUUAUUCACUUUUCAAAGACAGUCUAUGGCGUUACAGACUAUCAAAGGAGCAGCCUGGAAAAAAGUAAGCUUUGAGUACCAAUUACUAGAAAGUGUUAUUACAAAAUACUUCUAUCAGUUGACUUAUCAAGACUCCAAAACAGAAAUUGAUUCAGAGAGGAUUGGAAUAUUUUCACCACAACAUUUACUGAUGAUAAAUCACCGGUCAGAAGUCCUUGGAGAAAACUUCUGUACCUAAAAUUGGUACACACAUCUGAGUACUGCGAUGCCUGUGGCUCAACUUGGCAGAAAAAUGUGUACUUAUAAUGCUACAACUUCUGAGUAAGUUGGGGUAAGUAAUACAUAGCUGUACACCUUGGAGUUCCAGGUAGUCUCUGAAUAAUGUCUUGUACUAUACACAACAGCAGAUGUCUCUAAAUGAGCUAUGUGGUAUCUUUCUGCUUGUCCCUUUUUUGGGGAGUGGAAGAGCAAAGUUCUGCUUGGCAAAUUAUUACAGGUUAAGAUUUUACUUUGAGUUUUUAAUCACUUUAUUUUUGUAUACAUGCUUUGUUGUAAUGCUUAGUUUCCACAAAAAAAAAUUGAUUUAUUUUCCACC
rnacentral:lncRNA from 7 species